rnacentral:lncRNA from 1 species
CUGGUUUCCAACAAGUGAGGCAAUUGGCUGCAGAAAUGUGCCAGGGCUUAACCGUUCAUGCUAUGAGAUGGGACAAGAAACACUAAUGAAUACCAGCUGCUCAUGGCUAUCUGACUCCAUCGCUGGGGCACUAGGAAAUUUCCCUGAAGCUGCUGAGAUACCUUUGUCUCGAGAAACCUCCCUUCUCUCCCUGUCACAGUGUCUGCUACCUACUAUCCUUCUCUGGUACAAGGAAAGUGACAUCUGAAGAAGUCAAUGGACUUCAGAACUAGCUAAGUCAACCAGAGUUCACCUGGAUCCCCUCUGCCUCUUCUGUGAUGCUACUUGGGAUCUGUUCUGUUUGGACCUAGCUGCUUGUGAUGCCAUUUGGGUGUGUACACCAUCCGUGGCACCAUGUGAGCUCUGUUCUGUUUGGACUUGGCUCUUCGUGGGGCCAUCUGAGGUUGAGAAAAGCCUUCAGGAUUUAGUCUCACUCUGCUGCUCAGGCUGGAGUGCAGUGGUGUGAUCUCGGCUCACUGCAACAUCUGCCUCCCAGGUUCAAGCAAUUCUUCUGCCUAAGCCUCCCAAGUAGCUGGGACUAUAGUGCUCAAUGCUGUCUGUGUGAAAACAAGGCUGAAAACACCUGGGUCUCAAGAUAUAACCUUGAAGCAAACUGCAGAAAUUUUUUCCCCUCCUCAGUCUUAAUAUAUAGCUUUGAAACAUACCAAGAGUCUUUGUUCCCCCGCCAUUUCCCACCGUACACUCCCUUACGUCACAUACAUUUAUCUGACUGUAGGCUUGUAUCUAAAUAUGUGCUUACUUAGAAGUUCUAGGGACUAAUUUUGAGACAGAUUACAGGCAUGGAAACCCAGCUGCAAAAUUCCAGAGAUUACCUCAAAGCAGUUAGUCAACAACCCGGCCAUUGUGGGGAUGAUGCCAGCCCAUGCUCCAGGUGGACCAUGACUCAAGAUAGCCACCAGAACGAGACGCACGGACCUGUACCCAGCACCACUCCUUGCAUGCCACCCACUGCAAGUUCCCUUUGUAAGCCCCUCUCCCCAGGCUAAAGUUUGAAAUGGUUCCUUUAAGGCACAAGCCAUGGCCACUUCUCCAGUGCUAGCUCUGGAAUAAAGCUUCUUUCUUUUCACUGCAUC